GCGGGAGUAGUUCAGCGGUAGAGCGUCGGCUUCCCAAGCCGGAUGUCGCGGGUUCGAAUCCCGUCUCCCGCUCCA
rnacentral:tRNA from 1 species